rnacentral:rRNA from 1 species
UACAGGGGGUGCAAACGUUGCUCGGAAUCAUUGGGCGUAAAGCGCACGUAGGCGGUCUGUUAUGUCGGAUGUGAAAGCCCUUAGCUCAACUGAGGAAGUGCAUCCGAAACUGGCAGGCUAGAGUACUAAAGAGGAUCGCGGAAUUCCCGGUGUAGAGGUGAAAUUCGUAGAUAUCGGGAGGAACACCGGUGGCGAAGGCGGCGAUCUGGGUAGAUACUGACGCUGAGGUGCGAAAGCGUGGGGAGCAAACAGG